CGUAAAGCGUGAUUAAAGUAUUUCUUAUUGUAGUUGAAUAUAAAUUAAGCUGUGACACGCUUAUUUACUAGAAAACCAGAAACGAAAGUUANUUCAAUUAACCCCACUUGAACUCACGACAGUUAGGGAACAAACUGGGAUUAGAUACCCCACUAUGCCUUAACCGUAAACUUUAACCUACACUUUAAUCGCCAGGGAACUACGAGCAAAGCUUAAAACCCAAAGGACUUGACGGUACCCCACAUCCACCUAGAGGAGCCUGUCCUAUAAUCGAUAACCCCCGUUUAACCUCACCACCUCUUGCUAUUCAGCCUGUAUACCUCCGUCGUCAUNUUACCACGUGAGCGAACANUAGUGAGCUUAAUGUCUUUACAUCAACACGUCAG
rnacentral:rRNA from 1 species